ACGGGAGGCAGCAGUGAGGGAUAUUGCACAAUGGGGGGAACCCUGAUGCAGCAACGCCACGUGUGGGAAGAAGCAUUUCGGUGUGUAAACCACUGUCGUGAGGGAAUAAUGCUUGGCUCCGGCCAAGUUGAAUGUACCUCGAAAGGAAGCACCGGCAAACUUCGUGCCAGCAGCCGCGGUAAUACGAGGGGUGCAAGCGUUGUUCGGAAUCACUGGGCGUAAAGGGAGCGCAGGCGGAGAUGCAAGCGGUCUGUACAAUCCCGGGGCCUAACCCCGGACCUGCAGACCGGACUGUUUCUCUUGGAUAGCUCAGGGGCUGGCGGAAUUCCUGGUGUAGCGGUGGAAUGCGUAGAGAUCAGGAAGAACACCGAUGGCGAAGGCAGCCAGCUGGGGACUCAUCGACGCUGAGGCUCGAAAGUGCGGGUAGCAAACAGGAUUAGAUACCCUGGUA
rnacentral:rRNA from 1 species